rnacentral:lncRNA from 1 species
UGUUUGUCAAAGUAUUUGGCUCUGGUGACAUCAUCUUUGUUGAAACGCCGGACAGCAUGAUGAGUCCCAGAUGUUAAUGCACACUGAGAGUCGAGAAAGAAUAAAAUCCAAAGAUCAACACUAACAGCUCUGGAGGAGUGCACUCACUUUGCACUCUGGGGUUGAUGGAUGAAUACGUGAUUUUUUCCAAGGCAUCCUAAAGCUGUUAAACCUUACAGGCCAUUUAAAAGACGGGUAAGAACAAACAACGUGAUUAAAGGGAGCUGCCAAAAGCUGUACAAGUGUCAGCUGCCACCACUGCUCGUUACAUGGAUGAAGCUGUUGACUUUUAAUUUAUAGACAUUUGAGAAGGUGUACGUGAAGACUUGAAAAGAAGGCUUUCUUUUGCUAAAAGAAAAAAGAGAACUGUUAUUAAGAACCUCUGCUGAAAUACACUGAUGACGAUGUGUUGAAUUGAUGUUGAUGAAGACUAUAUUUUGGAAACUUCAGUUAGAGCCAAAGAGUGUUUCCAGUGCAAAGCAGAGGAUGUAAGAUUAAAAUAGAAAUUACUUCUGCUGGUCUGUGCUAUUUGCCAAUGAGAUCUUUCUGGUUGUGUCAGAAGAUGUUCAGUCUGUCGUUCAGAUCCUCAAGCAGUGAAAUGGAGGAGAUAGUAUUUGACCAUCUGGCACUGUCUUCUUGGGCUUUACUGACUGCAAAAACAGAAGAUGUUCUGCUGAGUGAUGGCUGGUUUUUGUCCUGUCAUGUCCUGAGUUUCCACAUCCCCCUGCUCGAAGAAAUGCCAGUUCUUCCAACCACUUCUUUUUUCCUGGAUACCUGUCAACUGUUCACAUUCAGAGACCUUGGAAGGGUAACCAACUUUGAAGAUUUUGUAGACGGCUUUUUGCCCGAAUGGGAAACUGCUGAGUUUCAUCUCAUCCCUGUAGUGGUUAAUUCCAGGACACUGGGAAAGACCCCGAGCUCUAAACGUUGGAUUAAGAUCUUCACUUCAGCAGCUGAGACAAUCACACUCAGGAAACUGGGAAAAAGAGUCCUGAGGGCAGAAAGAAAGGAGAUCUACCUGGUGGUGGCAGAACAAAAAGAUUACACAACCUUGCAAGAAGAAUGUUAUUUAAGAGAAUCCUCAAAGGCCGCUCUAAGGAUUGCUGCUGAGAAUAAAGCACCUGAGAUGGAUAAUGUUCUUACAACAAAAGAGUUUAAAAUAAAAGGUUCAGUCUUGCAAGAUGUGAAUAUAAGAAGCUAUCUUCAACUGAAAAGUCUAUAGAAGAGAUUUUGGAACAAACAGAAGAUCAACAGGAUCUAAUUGUGAGGAGCGGACGAUACUUCUCCAGAUGGAACUGAAAUGUGAAAUUACAGAAUUUUAACUUCGGUACCAGGUGCAAAGAGUGAGUAAUGUGGUGAUCAGAAGGAAGGCUGACUGUCUGAAAAGAAGCUGGACCCAGUAAAACCGGUUGAGAAGGGACACAAUUGCUGUCUAUAAAUUUAUGAUGAGGUGACUACUUCAUCAACUUGGCUUUUCACUGGCAUAGAAGAACCAGAAAAUGAACCUGGCACUAGAAGCCUGUGUUUCUUCUGCAGCUGGGAAAGCGGUGGGCCUCUCCAGAGCAAGAUUCACCAAAGCAUAUACAAGACUCUCGAUGCUGGAUGUGAAGGCAGAGAAACAAUUUACUGUUUUAAAACAAAGAGCCUGUUCCUCAGGAGACAUAGACUGAUUCAUGUGAAGGCACACCCCAGUUUCCUUGACUGCAAUGCAAUCCAAAUGCAGGCUUCAAGACCCAAUGGUCAGAGUAUUGGGUCAAGCUGAGAACUUGUGGGUUGUUGUCCUGGGCUCAGCUGCUCAUCUUGCCUCAACCUCUUCAGCAAAAAAUGUUUCAGAUUGCUUUUCUGCUCCUGCUUCUGAAGAGAAGUGAUGAGGAGCUGUCCUAUGAAAUGAUAGGGAAGCACUUGCAGAGGAGCACAGAGAUUAGGGAUACCCCUUGGAGGAAGGCAUUCAUGCUCCAUGCCAACCUGUGGGCUCCCAUCCACCUCCCACUGCCCACCGCAGCUCCUCUUUCCUGCCACGGGACACCACCAACCCUGGCUGUCCUUGGCCCCAGCACUUCCCAAACUCAGCAGGACUCAGUUCACUGGCCUGAAACAGUGGAAUAAAUCUCACAGUUUUUCCCUCAAGAGGUAUAAUCCUUCAGUUUUCAUGACGGCAGUUUUCCUGUUUAUUUCAACAGAAGUGGUAUCUCAAGAUGAAUGGCAGGAUAAUACCCAUUUGAAAUAUAAGUGGACAGCAGCAUCAGAUCAAAUGGAUGGUGAAAAGAGACUGAAUGGAAAAUGAUGACAGGGCAAAAAUGUCCCUUCCUACCAACAUCUUCAAUGUUUUCAUUUCCAAGCAUUUGUUAAGCAAGGAAGAGGAUCUCUCUCUAUUUAAUGUAAUUUAGUGAUAAUUCUUUGGAAAAGAGAAAAUAUCCUUUCACAGCUGUAUCAACAAUAUCUUCUCUCUUAAAAGAAAACAGCAGCUGACUUGACAUGUCAAGCAUCACGUAUUUGGCCACGGAAGGCAAGCAUGAGCCAGACUGGUCAAUAGCACUGACUUGGAACAAUGCCACUGAAAAGUUGGUCUGUAAACUGAUGCUACCUUAUUUCUUGGAUUGUAGAAGGGCUUGCUGAGAUUUAGCAGCAAUGCAGAACUACCACAUUCCCGGUAGAUAUUUCUUUUCUUGUUACAUGAGACCCAUGCAUGAAGUGAAAAAGAACAAAUGAACAUCAGGUUUACAUCACCACUGAUAUGUGAAUGAUUGAUCACCCAUUAAAUCACAUACAGAGCUGGUAACAGCACACGGGGUAGCGUUAAAGUAAAAUGUUUGAUAUUCUUUACUCUAAUUAAACAUGGAAAUAAUACGAUGCAGUCUGUAUUGUAAAUGUUAUUGCAGAUUAUAGACCUAAAGGAGAGGUGUUAUGCCACCUUUAUAGCCUCCAGUUCCUGGAGACUGUGACUUAGAGCUGCCUCAGGGCUGCCCUAAAUUACACCAGUUGGUAAUGACUCCCAGAGGGCCGCUAUGCAUCCAGUGGUUGCUGGAGUGUAAAGUACUUUGGCUAUGCCAACAGCCCAUCAUUUCACAAUGGAGGCUGAGAGCAGCUGGCAUAGUGCUUGGAGAAAAUCCCCAAGUAGUGGUUUAAGACAUUUUUCGAACUCUUUUUUUUUUGUCAUGAGAGUGAUAUAAAAUAAAG